ACGAACGCUGGCGGCAUGCCUAACACAUGCAAGUCGAACGAGACCUUCGGGUCUAGUGGCGCACGGGUGCGUAACGCGUGGGAACCUGCCCUUAGGUUCGGAAUAACUCCCCGAAAGGGGUGCUAAUACCGGAUAAUGUCUUCGGACCAAAGAUUUAUCGCCUUUGGAUGGGCCCGCGUUGGAUUAGCUAGUUGGUAGGGUAAAAGCCUACCAAGGCGACGAUCCAUAGCUGGUCUGAGAGGAUGAUCAGCCACACUGGGACUGAGACACGGCCCAGACUCCUACGGGAGGCAGCAGUGGGGAAUAUUGGACAAUGGGCGAAAGCCUGAUCCAGCAAUGGCGCGUGAGUGAUGAAGGCCUUAGGGUUGUAAAGCUCUUUUACCCGGGAUGAUAAUGACAGUACCGGGAGAAUAAGCUCCGGCUAACUCCGUG
rnacentral:rRNA from 1 species